GUGGAACCCAGCGACUAGUGUUCAGCUUGAUUAGGACGAACCCAGGCACUUAGCUGUGCAGGAACAAUGGUGAGCCUUUAGCCCAAUCAGGAGCAGCAACGGAUGCCUCGCUGGAUCAGGAGCACAGCCCACACCCUGCCAGAUCUGGAGGGGUAGAAGUCAGCAGCGGGUCUGUGAUGGCGGCAUUCAGCAGUGGUGGAUGGAAUCUGUCAUCAUGAAAGUUAUAUUAUGUUAAAUAAUUGCCCUCUACUGAAUAUUUGCCCCAUAAGAGGAACAGGAAAAGGGUUAUAAUGAAUCACUGACAUCAGAAGAUCAUGUAUUUGACCUAGAUGCCUCUGAAUCAGCUCUGCAACUAGGACUUCAAGCUCAUUAGCACAGAGACGCCGAACUCUCCUGAGGUCCUUGUUAUCCAGUGGAUCUCCUCUCCUGCUCCAAAACAGCCUUUCCCAUUGUCAGUGAGCAGUGCCACCUUACCAGCUGUGCCCAGCCAUAAACCUGCCCUUCUGUAAUAGAAAUCAAGAGAGAAUGUCCAGGCAUCCAAAUGUCAAGGCCUCAUCCACAGCCACCAUGGCUGGCCCUUCUUCGCUACUGCAACAGUUGUCCCGAGAAUUCACUCUGAUACUAAUUGGAAGCCCUCAUUCCCAAGAAGCAGGUGUCUGACUACACUUCUUUCUCCAGAUCUGUUAAAAUAGCAUCUCAUUAAAAGCAACCUCCCUUGGGAGAUAAGGCCAAAGACCUCUGUCUUAUUUCACACUUAAAUUAUUUUUUCUCUUUGCUUAAUCCAAGUUCCAUUUUGUGAAGGGGCCUUUAAGCUCAAACGGUUACUUUUUUCAUGAUCUAGGACACUCAAAGCUGUAUUCUAAUAAUUAAAUUUAUGAUAUUUGAAAAUCCAAACUAUGCCUUAUUCAUUUUCUUAUUCUUUC
rnacentral:lncRNA from 1 species